GCUCAAGUGGCGGAAUUGGUAGACGCGUCGGAUUCAAAAUCCGAUUUCUUCGGAAGUGUGGGUUCGAUUCCCACCUUGAGUACUA
rnacentral:tRNA from 1 species